UACGUAGGGUGCAAGCGUUGUCCGGAAUUAUUGGGCGUAAAGGGCUCGUAGGCGGUCCAUCACGUCGGGAGUGAAAACUCAGGGCUUAACCCUGAGCCUGCUUCCGAUACGGGCAGACUAGAGGUAUGCAGGGGAGAACGGAAUUCCUGGUGUAGCGGUGAAAUGCGCAGAUAUCAGGAGGAACACCGGUGGCGAAGGCGGUUCUCUGGGCAUUACCUGACGCUGAGGAGCGAAAGUGUGGGGAGCGAACAGG
rnacentral:rRNA from 1 species